ACAGGUAGGUUUAUAACACAACAGGUAGGUUUAUAACACAACAGGUAGGUUUAUAACACAACAGGUAGGUUUAUAACACAACAGGUGUGUUUAUAACACAACAGGUAGGUUUAUAACACAACAGGUAGGUUUAUAACACAACAGGUAGGUUUAUAACACAACAGGUAGGUUUAUAACACAACAGGUAGGUUUAUAACACAACAGGUAGGUUUAUAACACAACAGGUAGGUUUAUAACACAACAGGUAGGUUUAUAACACAACAGGUGUGUUUAUAACACAACAGGUAGGUUUAUAACACAACAGGUAGGUUUAUAACACAACAGGUAGGUUUAUAACACAACAGGUAGGUUUAUAACACAACAGGUAGGUUUAUAACACAACAGGUAGGUUUAUAACACAACAGGUGUGUUUAUAACACAACAGGUAGGUUUAUACCACAACAGGUAGGUUUAUACCACAACAGGUAGGUUUAUAACACAACAGGUAGGUUUAUAACACCACAGGUUGGUUAACACAACAGGUAGGUUUAUAACACAACAGGUAGGUUUAUAACACAACAGGUAGGUUUAUAA